rnacentral:rRNA from 1 species
AGAACGAACGCUGGCGGCGUGGAUAAGACAUGCAAGUCGAACGGAACUUGGUAGCAAUACUAAGUUCAGUGGCGGACGGGUGCGUAACACGUGAACAAUCUGCCCGGAAGAGGGGGAUAGCCCAGGGAAACUUGGAUUAAUACCCCGUGUGAUCGGAAUGGGCAUCCAUUCCACAUCAAAGGUGCUGCAAGGUGCCGCUUCCGGAUGAGUUCGCGCCCUAUCAGCUUGUUGGCGGGUAACGGCCCACCAAGGCGAUGACGGGUAGCUGGUCUGAGAGGAUGACCAGCCACACUGGAACUGAGACACGGUCCAGACACCUACGGGUGGCAGCAGUCGAGAAUCAUUCACAAUGGGCAAAGCCUGAUGGUGUGACGCCGCGUGGAGAGUGAAGUCUCGGAUUGAACUCUGUCAUGUGAGAGUAAACGGCCGGACGUUAACGUGGU